rnacentral:rRNA from 1 species
CCGGACCUGACUGCUAUCUGAUUGGUACUAAGCCAUGCGAGUCGUUGUAGCAAUACAAGUCGGACUGCUCAGUAACACGUAGUUAACUUAACCUAUGGAUGGGGAUAACCCCGGGAAACUGAGAAUAAUACCCAAUAGACCACAGUGCCUGGAAUGGCCUGUGGUUGAAAUGAUUUAUCGCCGUAGGAUAGGACUGCGGCCUAUCAGUUUGUUGGUGAGGUAAUGGCCCACCAAGGCUAUAACAGGUACGGGCUCUGAGAGGAGGGGCCCGGAGAUGGGUACUGAGACACGGACCCAGGCCCUAUGGGGCGCAGCAGGCGAGAAACCUUUGCAAUGUGCGAAAGCACGACAAGGUUAAUCCGAGUGUCUCCUGCUAAAGGAGUCUUUUGUCAGUUGUAGAAUCACUGGUGAAUAAGGGGUGGGCAAGUUCUGGUGUCAGCCGCCGCGGUAAAACCAGCACCUCGAGUGGUCAGGAGGUUUAUUGGGCCUANAGCAUCCGUAGCCGGUUGCAUAAGUUUUCGGUUAAAUCUAUGCGCUUAACGUAUAGGCCGCCGAAAAUUCUGUGCAGCUAGGGAGUGGGAGAGG